GGCCGUGUGGCGAAAUGGCAUCGCGUCUGACUACGAAAGUUAUUGCUUCGGGAUCAGGAGAUUGUAGGUUCGAUACCUACCUCGGUCA
rnacentral:tRNA from 1 species